rnacentral:tRNA from 1 species
GAAGGUGUAGCUUAGUCGGUUAAAGCACUUGACUGAUACUCAAGAGAGCGUAGGUUCAACUCCUACCAUCUUCACCA